rnacentral:rRNA from 1 species
AGAGUUUGAUCCUGGCUCAGGAUGAACGCUGGCGGCAUGCCUAAUACAUGCAAGUCGAACGAGAGGAAGGAAAGCUUGCUUUUCUGAAUCUAGUGGCGAACGGGUGAGUAACACGUAGGUAACCUGCCCAUGUGCCCGGGAUAACUUCUGGAAACGGAUGCUAAAACCGGAUAGGUAGCAGACAAGCAUUUGACUGCUAUUAAAGUGGCCUUGGCCAUGAACAUGGAUGGACCUGCGGUGCAUUAGCUGGUUGGUGAGGUAACGGCCCACCAAGGCGACGAUGCAUAGCCGGCCUGAGAGGGCGAACGGCCACAUUGGGACUGAGACACGGCCCAAACUCCUACGGGAGGCAGCAGUAGGGAAUUUUCGUCAAUGGGGGGAACCCUGAACGAGCAAUGCCGCGUGAGUGAGGAAGGUCUUCGGAUCGUAAAGCUCUGUUGUAAGAGAAAAACGGCACUCAUAGGGAAUGAUGAGUGAGUGAUGGUAUCUUACCAGAAAGUCACGGCUAACUACGUGCCAGCAGCCGCGGUAAUACGUAGGUGGCGAGCGUUAUCCGGAAUGAUUGGGCGUAAAGGGUGCGUAGGUGGCAGAUCAAGUCUGGAGUAAAAGGUAUGGGCUCAACCCGUACUGGCUCUGGAAACUGAUCAGCUAGAGAACAGAAGAGGACGGCGGAACUCCAUGUGUAGCGGUAAAAUGCGUAGAUAUAUGGAAGAACACCGGUGGCGAAGGCGGCCGUCUGGUCUGGAUUCUGACACUGAAGCACGAAAGCGUGGGGAGCAAAUAGGAUUAGAUACCCUAGUAGUCCACGCCGUAAACGAUGAGAACUAGGUGUUGGGGGAAUAACUCAGUGCCGCAGUUAACGCAGUAAGUUCUCCGCCUGGGGAGUAUGCACGCAAGUGUGAAACUCAAAGGAAUUGACGGGGGCCCGCAC